GUGCAACAUUGAAAUUAUUCAACGCUGCCAAUAAAUCGCUUCCCGUAUCAUCGUCGCUGCUCACCGGUGUACCAGAAACGACACUAUCCACCGUGAUAUGAUGAUCACCUCAGUCCGGAACGAGAUUACCAAGUUUGUCCGUAAACAUGAGAUAAGGCUGUAUCACCACAUCAACCCAGCAGCAAUUAAACUACUUGAUAAUUCACAAGACAUUUGGCGUUUCAAACGCCAAAGACCAUACGAUUUAGUAUAGGACUCUUAGACUACGGUCGGGGCUAUUUCAUUGCGAGUGGAAAUCUCCCCCCUUUUUUUCUUCGUACAUCAAUGGAUCAGUAUUCUAGCACACCUUUAUAAUGUAUUUCUGAAGAUCUUUGAUCGUUGUAAUAAAAGCUUUCGGGUAAUUUAAUAAAAAAAAAAACAUGUACACUUGGAUCUUAUCUAAUAUAUGGUUAACAGCGGAUUUAUUUGAUCAUAAAAUAUGCUUAGUUUGUUAUGAAUUGCUUCGCCAUAAUCGGAAUGAAAAUAAAACUCCUUACCGUAAAGGUGGUCGCAUUCUAAUAAUUUUCUAAAAAUUAUUAGGACUCUGAAAUACCUAUACAAAAAUAUAGCAUUCAAUUUAAUGGACUCAUAUUAAUAUGUACAAUAGUCCAACUGAAUUAAAUUGCGAAGCUAACGUUUAUCAAUGUUUUUUCUUUCAGAUUUAGUCACUAAAACUGCCGAAAAAUUUUGUAAUCGUCAAAGUAUGUAUAUAAGUACAGUUUAACUUGUAGGCUUGAAAAAAGCUAUAUUUUAAAGCUUUUAGGGCAAUUUAAAUAUCAAUUAAUUAAUUAUUGUUUUUACGUUAAGUAAUUAUUAAUUUAUUGUAUCUUCGUAUUUUAAUUAUAUUCCAUAUAAAAUCCAUUCAAAAUAUCGUCAGUUAACUGUAGAUGAAAAAAAAAAAAAAAACGAAAAUACUUUGCAUAUUGGGCGGGCCACUUUUGUAGGUGAGAAGUUGAUUACGUUAUUUUAAUUUUGUUAAGCUACAAUAGCCAACACUAACCUUCAGGAUAGCGAAAAUGUGAUUUUAUCAUAUUUCAAACAUCUAGCUAUUGUAGGUUAGAUUUGGUUAGUUGAGUUUUAAGAAAAGUUUAAAUUUUUUAUUCAUAUAUAGAAAGUAGUAAUCUGCAAUAUUAAAAGAUCCAAUGCCUUAGGAUAUAGACGAAAAUUUAGUGUA